rnacentral:rRNA from 1 species
UACGGGGGGGGCAAGCGUUGUUCGGAAUUACUGGGCGUAAAGGGCUCGUAGGCGGCCAACUAAGUCGGAUGUGAAAUCCCCAAGCUUAACUUGGGAACUGCAUCCGAUACUGGAUGGCUUGAAUCCGGGAGAGGGAUGCAGAAUUCCAGGUGUAGCGGUGAAAUGCGUAGAUAUCUGGAGGAAUACCGGUGGCGAAGGCGGCAUCCUGGACCGGCAUUGACGCUGAGGAGCGAAAGCAUGGGGAGCGAACAGG